UGAGUAGUACGUACGCAAGUAUGAAACUUCAAGGAAUUGACGGGAUCCCGCACAAGCGGUGGAUCAUGUUGUUUAAUUCGAAGAUACACGAAAAACCUUACCAGGUCUUGACAUUAUCCUGCGAAGCUAUAGAAAUAUAGGGGAGGUUAUCAGGAUAACAGGUGGUGCAUGGUUGUCGUCAGCUCGUGUCGUGAGAUGUUAGGUUAAGUCCUAAAACGAGCGCAACCCUUGUCGUUAGUUACCAGCACGUUAUGGUGGGGACUUUAGCGAGACUGCCAAUGAAAAAAUUGGAGGAAGGUGAGGAUUACGUCAAAUCAUCAUGCCCCUUAUGAUCUGGGCUACAAACGUGAUACAAUGGCUAUUACAAAGAGCAGCUGAAACGUGAGUUGUUAGCUAAUCUCAAAAAAAUAGUCUCAGUUCGGAUUGAAGUCUGCAACUCGACUUCAUGAAGUUGGAAUCGCUAGUAAUCGCGAAUCAGCAUGUCGCGGUGAAUACGUUCUCGGGGUUUGUACACACCGCCCGUCAAACCAUGAAAGUUGACAAUACCCAAAACCAGUCGCUUAACUACUUCGGUAGAGGGAGCUGUCUAAGGUAGGGUCGAUGAUUGGGGUUAAGUCGUAACAAGGUAUCCCUACCGGAAGGUGGGGAUGGAUCACCUCCUUUCUAAGGAAAUGUCGUAUCAUGAUCAUCUUCAGUUUUGAAAGACUUAGAGUAGAUAAGUUUUUCUUUUGGCGUAGAGGAAGGGCCUAUAGCUCAGUUGGUAGAGCACACGCUUGAUAAGCGUGCGGUCAAUGGUUCAAGUCCAUUUAGGCCCACCAUACCACAUUC
rnacentral:rRNA from 1 species